rnacentral:lncRNA from 1 species
UAUCUAUAGACCAAAAAGAUAAUAGAAUCUAAGCCAAAUAAAAACAGAUAACCGCUCAAUGCCUAAUUAAACCGCUUAGCGCCUAAUUAAACCGCUCAGUGAUUUCCCUCUUAGUCGCGCCACCGCUCAGCGGUCAGUUUUACCGCUGAGCGGUUUGCCUCUAAUCGCUUUGGACACUCAACGUUAGUUUUGGCCGUUGAGCGGUGCAUAGACUCUUCUUUCUUCCUUUUUCUUCUUCCUUCUUGAGUCUAAGUUCGUCCUAAUUCACUUCCAUCUUCAAUUCUCAUAAAAAACCAUGCAAAAUAAUGCAAAAACAAGCAUAAUAUCUCUAAAACCAACUUUUGACUCCCUC